UAAAAAAUCUACAGAGACUUUCAACAUAAUUAAGGUUAAAUUUACUUUGAAAUUCAUAAUGGCCAUAUAAAAGCAAACCGGUAAUAUUGUACAUCUGGAAAAUCACACUUUCAUGAAAUUCCUUGAGCCUUUUGUUAAGGCCUGCAUCGUUCCAAGCUGCAGAAAUAUCUGAUGAAGGACCAUAGACCAGAAGAGCUUCUCAAUUUCUAAACAUCUUUGUGCUGUGUGAAUAUGAAAGACACGUACAUUAUUCAGUUCUUCCCUCUAUAGCAG